GAUGAACGCUGGCGGCGUGCCUAAUACAUGCAAGUCGAGCGAACGGACGAGAAGCUUGCUUCUCUGAUGUUAGCGGCGGACGGGUGAGUAACACGUGGAUAACCUACCUAUAAGACUGGGAUAACUUCGGGAAACCGGAGCUAAUACCGGAUAAUAUUUUGAACCGCAUGGUUCAAAAGUGAAAGACGGUCUUGCUGCCACUUAUAGAUGGAUCCGCGCUGCAUUAGCUAGUUGGUAAGGUAACGGCUUACCAAGGCAACGAUGCAUAGCCGACCUGAGAGGGUGAUCGGCCACACUGGAACUGAGACACGGUCCAGACUCCUACGGGAGGCAGCAGUAGGGAAUCUUCCGCAAUGGGCGAAAGCCUGACGGAGCAACGCCGCGUGAGUGAUGAAGGUCUUCGGAUCGUAAAACUCUGUUAUUAGGGAAGAACAUAUGUGUAAGUAACUGUGCACAUCUUGACGGUACCUAAUCAGAAAGCCACGGCUAACUACGUGCCAGCAGCCGCGGUAAUACGUAGGUGGCAAGCGUUAUCCGGAAUUAUUGGGCGUAAAGCGCGCGUAGGCGGUUUUUUAAGUCUGAUGUGAAAGCCCACGGCUCAACCGUGGAGGGUCAUUGGAAACUGGAAAACUUGAGUGCAGAAGAGGAAAGCGGAAUUCCAUGUGUAGCGGUGAAAUGCGCAGAGAUAUGGAGGAACACCAGUGGCGAAGGCGACUUUCUGGUCUGUAACUGACGCUGAUGUGCGAAAGCGUGGGGAUCAAACAGGAUUAGAUACCCUGGUAGUCCACGCCGUAAACGAUGAGUGUUAAGUGUUAGGGGGUUUCCGCCCCUUAGUGCUGCAGCUAACGCAUUAAGCACUCCGCCUGGGGAGUACGACCGCAAGGUUGAAACUCAAAGGAAUUGACGGGGACCCGCACAAGCGGUGGAGCAUGUGGUUUAAUUCGAAGCAACGCGAAGAACCUUACCAAAUCUUGACAUCCUUUGACAACUCUAGAGAUAGAGCCUUCCCCUUCGGGGGACAAAGUGACAGGUGGUGCAUGGUUGUCGUCAGCUCGUGUCGUGAGAUGUUGGGUUAAGUCCCGCAACGAGCGCAACCCUUAAGCUUAGUUGCCAUCAUUAAGUUGGGCACUCUAAGUUGACUGCCGGUGACAAACCGGAGGAAGGUGGGGAUGACGUCAAAUCAUCAUGCCCCUUAUGAUUUGGGCUACACACGUGCUACAAUGGACAAUACAAAGGGCAGCGAAACCGCGAGGUCAAGCAAAUCCCAUAAAGUUGUUCUCAGUUCGGAUUGUAGUCUGCAACUCGACUACAUGAAGCUGGAAUCGCUAGUAAUCGUAGAUCAGCAUGCUACGGUGAAUACGUUCCCGGGUCU
rnacentral:rRNA from 1 species